rnacentral:ncRNA from 1 species
UCGGCUUCCUGUUCACGGCGACCGCCGCCGACCAGGCGACC